ensembl:lncRNA
CACAGACAGCAUCGUCAGAAGGAAAAUUGAUAAAAUAAAUUACAAAUGUUGUAUUGUUCGAUACAUAUGCGUACCGAACCGAAAGCACUGUAUCGAACGGUUCAAUAUCGAUACGAAUAUCGUUGCACCCCUACUAUCUAUCUAUCUAUCUAUCUAUCUAUCUAUCUAGAUAGAUAGAUAGAUAGAUAGAUAGAUAGAUAGAUAGAUAGAUAGAUAGAUAGAUAGAUAGAUAGAUAGAUAGAUACUUAUAUGAUUUAAAUGAUUCACUGUCUUUGGAUUGACAUUAUUUGAAGUUGCUAGUAGGCUUGCCCAGUUCAACAGUUUAUCUUUAAUUCAAUUCAGUUCAAGUGCAUUCAAAAAUCAAAAGGAAUCUAGAUUUGACUCUGGGUUUGUCUUGUAGGACCCUACUGGCCACAGUCAAUGCUGCACGGAAUCUAGUUACUUCACAAGAGAACUCUCUGAAGAUUUAGGUCCAUUGACCAAGAUUUCUGAGAGAACACAUUAUGUUUACUUGUGAUGGAAAUGAACAAAAAUAGAAGUGACCAAGGCCAUCCUGUGGACAGAGCUUAACUUUGAAGAAAGUAAAGAUUUAACAGCUGAUGAAGAUGUGACUGAAGACAAUGUCUUCGUCUGGAUUCAGGCCUGCUUGGUUAUGGGCAGCCUCCCUUUUGAUUUGAUCAUAUAAUGUGAAUUUUGGACACUGAACACCAGAUUUGCAACAAAACAGCAGUAUUUUACAUCCUUGUAGUUAUAAAAUCACAAAUUACUCAUCUCCUGUGUAGUAAUGGUGUCAUCAUGUUUACUGAAAACUGAAUAAUUACUUCGCUGCAAUUGUCACACUUGGCAAAGCUGAGUGGACCAAACUGCAUCCACUUCUGACCUGCAGGCCCAUUCUUUUUAAAUCCCCAUGCUGUGCUAUCUAUAUAAUAUGACAAACUUUAGAAUGCACCGUGGAUGGAUAUACUCCUAGAUAUUUCAUAUACGAUCUCAAAAUAUAUUAUUGUACUGUGUGCCAUUGGUGCAUAGAGAUUCUGUAUUUCAUUCAUUCAGUCCACAGGUUUUUGUUUUGUCACCUCAGUUAAUUCGAGUCACAAAACCCCCUGAAUGUUUUUGUGGUGCUGUUGCCUUCUUUGUGUGCAAAUAUCUAAUAAAAGAUCUAAUAAAUAAUAACUUAAGUAGGUUAAAUUCACAGUUACCUACUUUACUUGAGCUUCCCUUUUUACACCGCUCUCUAUUGUUGCUUCACUAUGCUUUAUAUUUUACUUCAUUAUCUGACAGUUUAUACUACUUUUGGACCUUUGUAUAUAAAAAAAACAAGUCACCCAGUUGUGCAUAGUACAACUAAAAGUAUUAAUUAGUUAAUCAAUUUUUGAUUUGCUUUUUGUUUUUGUUUUUAGACAAAAACAAAGGACUAGAUUGAGAGACUGCAUCUCAGCUCAUACAAAUGCCCUCAAAACUGAAAAUGAAACCAUAUGGCUCUGGGCCAGCACUCCCCACAUUACAUCAAACACAUGCAAGAAGACAUCAACUGGGUGGGUCUUGUUCACGAGUGAACGAAGAGAGGAAUGAGAGAUCGACAGAUGGAUGUUGCUGCAGCUGCAGUGAUGUGGACGCUAUACCAGUCUGUUGUGGUGAAGAGUCAUUCAAGAGGGGUAGAGUAGAGUUGCUACUCGUCCACAUCGAAAGAAGCAAGUUGAGGACACCAGUAGUGAUAAGCCCUCCGUCACAGAAGGUGUGUGGUCAGUGAAGAUGGUCACCUGCAGGUUUGAGGUCAUUGCACUUCCAACCCACAUCCACUGCCCUUAAGGGAAGUUGCAACAAUGUCAAAGACUUCACUGAGGCACUUACAUUUGGAUCGUCUAAAUCCAUGGCAGUCAUUCAGGCAGUAAUGCCAAGAAUGGAAACAAACCAUCCUUAAAAUGUUACAAGACACAAAGCUCCUGUGUUUGAAUGCAAAACAAAUGUGUUGUUUGAGCUGAACAAUAAAUACAUUUUAUACUGAUUAUAUCAGCAAUGUAACUUGCAAUACAAAGUUAUGGGAAGCUUUAACUUAGUUUCAGAAUAAUUAAAUCUGAGAAUUUGUCUCAGUGUAAGGUUAUUAAAGGUUUAAAUUAUCUUAACAAAUAAACAUACAAUUUAAUUGUACUAAUAUUUAAAAUCUAAUGGGGGAAUGGGAAUAUACUUAUUUGUUGUUAAACAUAACAGUGUCCAGUAUGUUGGCUGACAUACUUUUUUGCAUUUGAAAAAAAGGCUGGGAUAAUUUUAACUGCAUUGCAAGUGCUUUUAAUUUUUGUUUUUGAAUCAUACUUGUACUAGAAAUCUCUUAAGUUUAAGGAUGAUAAAACAUAAUGUGAUUUAGCUGCAUUUAUUUGUAUGUAAGGAAAAUUAAAAAUAGUAAGUCACCACAAUUUCUUUUUUUAACUUAGUAGAACUUGAAAUGUUUAUCAGUAGGGUAAACAAUUAGUAUUGCUCACUCAAAAAUAUCAAGUUAUUCUUAGUACUGUGUACUCGCAAUGAAUAAGCUGUUCUUAGUUAUCUUAAGUGAGCUUUACUUUAGUUCUGGGAACUAAUUCGAUUUUACAGGGCAUAAGGGCACCUCUUAGUUAAAUUAUGGAUGAUGGAACCUCAACUGCUGACACUACUGUCCCUAACACUGAGCUUUGAAUGCAACCAUCAUGGUCAGAACAUCUAACAGUCAGGUAACCCUUGGCUACUGGUAGGUUUUGUAUUACAGAGUGCAAGAAAGGUCUGUCAGAAGAUGUAUGUGGAGGGGCAGAAUAUUUUAUUAUUUCGGUAUAAAAGCAUGAAUGGACAUUCAAGUGUUUUUUUGAUAUUGUUUUUUUAUUUCAUCCCCACAUGAUCAGAAAUGUGUGGAGGUAAACAAUGCCAAGUUAUUGAGCUCAAGAGGUAGAGACCAACACGGUGAAUUCUUAAUAUACAUAUUCACAGUGUUGCCGUGACAAAAUAAUUAAAAAUAAUAACAAAAAAUGCAUUUUUCUUAGACAUAUCUACAACUGCUGUACACACAAGUUAUAGUUAAGAUGACUGCAUUUCUUUUAAUUGUUACAGGAUUUUCUGUCCACAUCCUAGUUGCAGGGUAAAAAUCAAGAAAAUAUAUACAUUUGUAUGCAAGUUUUUAAAAAAAAUUUUUCACAGCCUUAGAAAUGUACAGGCUAAUACAAUCCCUAUACAGUGUUUUUUUGUGUGUUUUUUGUAGGUUGUUGUAGAUUUGCUUCUCUAUAUAACAUAUAUAUAUACAUAGUUAUUUUCUGAGGUGUGAAAAGAAUGCAUACCAUAGGACACAAGAACAGAUUGAUAACAAGUCUAAAAAUAUAUUAAAUAAAUUACGUCAAAAAC